GGCAGACUUCUCAAAGACUUCUGUGUUCUUCCAGUCUAGCAGGGGGAAGGAAACUGGGCUGAAGUCAGUCUGGGAAUUUACUGACCCCAGGCAGUAACAGCAGUCAAUCUGGCAUUAUGGUUUUAUAUAUAUAUAUAGUGUUUUUCACAGCUGCAAAAUGAAUGCUGAGUGAUUUCAAAUUUCUUAGGAGCUGGCCUUCAGAUAUUCUCUAGCAGAAGAACUCACUCUAUUAGCUCAGCUUUAAUCUAUUUAAAAGCUAAGCUAAAGAAAAUUCUCUUAAACAAUAUACAUAAUAUAUGGAUGGCGGAGCAGUAUCUUAAAAAAAUAAAUGUUUGCUGCUUUACAUUAACGUUGUGACAGUUGGGUAGGGAUGUCUAUGUUUUAAGUGCAGAGCAAUGCUGCUGAAAUGCGAUAUAAAAAUCUGACUGGCUUCCAUGGAAGAUGUUAUAUUUGCCAAAAGAGCUUAACAUAGAAUUGCCUCAUAUAUUUCUUUCAAAAGUUAUCCUAAAAGGCUCUGCGGUGGACCUGAACAUGACUGCUAAGGAAAGAUGCUAAUAAUUUUGACUUCAACGGCUUCCUCAUGGGUAUCCUGUAGUUUGACUAAUCAUGCCUCCAGGGAUCUUGGUGUGGCUGUAUGGAUUUCCCACACAAUAUAUGGGUAUUGAUUUUUAUUUUAUUUAUUUAUUUUUUCAGGGUGUGGAUGGCUUUAGUUGUUAAUCUCUGCAAAUUCCCACUGACCUCUCAUCCGUGCGUGGUUCUCUUCCUUACAGCUGGUUCAGCCUGCCUCCCCUAUCCACCCUUUUGCAGCAACCAGAAGAUUUCUAAAGGAGAAGCCGAAACACUUCAGGCUGGAGUUUCACCUUGAUCUCCCGUACUCAGCAACCCAACUUUCUGUUUGGAUUUCAAAGCCACAGCAUUAAUUAUUUCUUCUGGACUACUUCUCCAAGGCCAGGGUAAAUGCAGCCAGCAUUGGCAAGUAAGCUAGAGGGAAGGAGGUGACCUCAAUGCAAUUAAAGGAAAUAUGGAUCCCAAAUUCCAGUGAAUCCUAGAAAAGUUUAAGUUACUCGGUAGGCCACAUAAUCCAACCUCCUGUUCAAACCAGAGCCAACUCCAAAGCUGCAUUGCAGUCCCAAGGUUGCUCCAGCUGAGUGUUGAACAUCUCCAGGGUUGGAGACACCCUGUCUCGCCCAGGCUCCAGUUCCAGCACGAGACCCUCUCACUGAGGUGUCUGGUUUGGGGUUGAAAGUUUCUCUGAUGUAGCUUGUGACUGUUACCUCGGACCUUUUCCCUGUACAUCUCUGAGAAGUCUGCCUCUGGCUUCUCUACUGCCCACCAUCAAUUUGCUGGUGAAGUUCAGAAAGCAAUUCUUCCUUCAAAUGAAAGGGAUGGCACCAGAGGAGUUGCAGUAGCUAGGGUAACGAUUGUAUCAUCAACGUAAUUUUUUUUUUCUUUAUGUAGACAAUAACUCCACUUCCACUCACCAGCCUGGGAGGACUAAAACUCAUCCACGUAGAGUGCUGACCUUGAUCUGGGUCUAGAAAAUCCUCUUGCACUGCUGUGACUUGAGCACUUCAGAUACUUACCAGGCUGACCUGCAGGAGAAAUUAGGGUGCAAAUGGGAGCCCAUGCUUAUAAUGCAUUUAAUUUACAAUAGGUGCACACAGUAUUUAUAUCGGGGAUAUUAUUCUGAUUUAACGUGAUCAAGUUAUCUUACAUCAAGUAUUUGCAGAAACAGAAGUUAAAUAUCUGCAGUUAUGUCUGAAGGCCAAAUGAUGGGAGGCUUUUGCAAAGAGUUCAUGAACUGUGUUUGUGCAAAAAUCCAGUACUGAACAAGUGCUGGACACAUUCAAAAAUUUGACCUGUGUGGACACUAUACCACAAGAUUUUCCUUUCAAAGAAGGGAAGAAAAAGAAAAAAGGGAAACAGGUCUUUACAAACACCAUCACACCUCGAAGUUGUCAGGAAGCUAUUGAAAGCUCUAGGUCCUAACAAGACCCACAACAAGUUCAUCCAGGAACUGAGACACAAAGCCCAUUCUCUCUUUUUCGUUAACAAGAUACAAGGAGUAGACUUUCCUUCCUCCUAAUUUUCAACAACAAAUCAGAAGCAGCUAAGCUGGUCAAGUUUCACCAAAACACAUCCUGGUUUAACAAACCAUUCCUUUAAUGCUCGGCCUCUCCUAUGGCAAACUGCGAAUAUAACAUGCCUGAGCAGCUGAGCAGAAAAAGUGGAGCAACCUUUUUAGACCCAUUUGAAAAGUAGGUCUGUGUCCUGCAGAAAUCUUGUCUUUUGUCUAUUUUGCUCAGCAUUGAAGGAAAUGUAUGUGAGUGGCCCCAGCAUAGGGUAUGACCUGUAAGCAUAACCUUGCUGUGGAUGUUAUUAAUAAAAUGUUCUCAUUUUCCCA
rnacentral:lncRNA from 1 species